GAUGAACGCUAGCGACAGGCUUAACACAUGCAAGUCGAGGGGCAGCAUGAUUUGUAGCAAUACAGAUUGAUGGCGACCGGCGCACGGGUGAGUAACGCGUAUGCAACUUACCUAUCAGAGGGGGGAUAGCCCGGCGAAAGUCGGAUUAAUACCCCAUAAAACAGGGGUCCCGCAUGGGAAUAUUUGUUAAAGAUUCAUCGCUGAUAGAUAGGCAUGCGUUCCAUUAGGCAGUUGGCGGGGUAACGGCCCACCAAACCGACGAUGGAUAGGGGUUCUGAGAGGAAGGUCCCCCACAUUGGUACUGAGACACGGACCAAACUCCUACGGGAGGCAGCAGUGAGGAAUAUUGGUCAAUGGCCGAGAGGCUGAACCAGCCAAGUCGCGUGAAGGAAGAAGGAUCUAUGGUUUGUAAACUUCUUUUAUAGGGGAAUAAAGUGGAGGACGUGUCCUUUUUGUAUGUACCCUAUGAUAAGCAUCGGCUAACUCCGUG
rnacentral:rRNA from 1 species